UUUGCCUCCCUCCCUCUCUGUUUGUAACUAUUUUUUUCUCCUUCCCUUCCCCCAUGGUCUUCUGUUAAGUUUCUCAAGGUCUUUUUGAAGCAAUAAGUUCAUUUUAUUUCAUCAGGGCUGUAAUAAAUAUUGUAGUAAAGCAGCUUUUUAAAACUUCAACUCAUCAUGUGCCAAACUUACUUGACCAUAAGUCCCUUCUUAUAAUGCCUAUUAAUAUCUUUUGCAUGUGAACUAUUUUUGUAAACACUGCUCUAGCUGAAAGAAAUAAUCUCAGGGGUGGAAAUUCUAAAACAUUAUAGCUUGAGGCCCACUAAGUUUAUGAGAGAGCAAGUUGCUUUCUCGGUAAACCAGUCACAUUCUUCUUCUACAUAUGGGACCCUUGUCCUUUUAAAAAAGGGAAAUCCCUCUAUGUAAUGAUCUUCCUUCACAGUCCUUUCUUACUCUUCCCUAUACCCCACUUCUUAGUUCAACUUAAUGAGAUAUUGAAAACAAAAAACAAGAAAACAGGUUUGUGGGAUUUUAGAAGCAUGGUAAUAAAAUAAAUGGCUUUAUCACUGAUAUAUCUAGUCCAUAAAUCAAGCUUUCAGAAUUAGAGGGUUUUUUUUUGAGGUAAAUGGUAUAACAAAUAGAAGAAUAAAGAUGGUCAAGUGGACCAUGGUGCCAUUACUUUGUUCUCUACUUCUAAUGCUUUUUUACUUAUUCUCAAAGGAAAUGUUAGAAAUUAAACUUAUAUUUUUAUGUAGUUUUUCUUAUCAUAUUGGACUGAAUUGCCUUCUGAAAUUACAUAAUGCAAUUACCUCCAAAAUGAGAAAUUAUAGCAAAUAUACAUAAAGGAAAAAGAAAAUAUGGCUUCCUAAACUAACAUGUUAGAAGCCUCAUUAAUACUUUUCUGUAGCUUUCUGUAUGCUGAAAUAUACACUGUCUCUAAUACACA